CGGGACACGUGGUAUCCUGUCUGAAUAUGGGGGGACCAUCCUCCAAGGCUAAAUACUCCUGACUGACCGAUAGUGAACCAGUACCGUGAGGGAAAGGCGAAAAGAACCCCGGCGAGGGGAGUGAAAAAGAACCUGAAACCGUGUACGUACAAGCAGUGGGAGCACGCUUAGGCGUGUGACUGCGUACCUUUUGUAUAAUGGGUCAGCGACUUAUAUUCUGUAGCAAGGUUAACCGAAUAGGGGAGCCGAAGGGAAACCGAGUCUUAACUGGGCGUUAAGUUGCAGGGUAUAGACCCGAAACCCGGUGAUCUAGCCAUGGGCAGGUUGAAGGUUGGGUAACACUAACUGGAGGACCGAACCGACUAAUGUUGAAAAAUUAGCGGAUGACUUGUGGCUGGGGGUGAAAGGCCAAUCAAACCGGGAGAUAGCUGGUUCUCCCCGAAAGCUAUUUAGGUAGCGCCUCGUGAAUUCAUCUCCGGGGGUAGAGCACUGUUUCGGCAAGGGGGUCAUCCCGACUUACCAACCCGAUGCAAACUGCGAAUACCGGAGAAUGUUAUCACGGGAGACACACGGCGGGUGCUAACGUCCGUCGUGAAGAGGGAAACAACCCAGACCGCCAGCUAAGGUCCCAAAGUCAUGGUUAAGUGGGAAACGAUGUGGGAAGGCCCAGACAGCCAGGAUGUUGGCUUAGAAGCAGCCAUCAUUUAAAGAAAGCGUAAUAGCUCACUGGUCGAGUCGGCCUGCGCGGAAGAUGUAACGGGGCUAAACCAUGCACCGAAGCUGCGGCAGCGACGCUGAUGCGUUGUUGGGUAGGGGAGCGUUCUGUAAGCCUGUGAAGGUGUGCUGUGAGGCAUGCUGGAGGUAUCAGAAGUGCGAAUGCUGACAUAAGUAACGAUAAAGCGGGUGAAAAGCCCGCUCGCCGGAAGACCAAGGGUUCCUGUCCAACGUUAAUCGGGGCAGGGUGAGUCGACCCCUAAGGCGAGGCCGAAAGGCGUAGUCGAUGGGAAACAGGUUAAUAUUCCUGUACUUGGUGUUACUGCGAAGGGGGGACGGAGAAGGCUAUGUUGGCCGGGCGACGGUUGUCCCGGUUUAAGCGUGUAGGCUGGUUUUCCAGGCAAAUCCGGAAAAUCAAGGCUGAGGCGUGAUGACGAGGCACUACGGUGCUGAAGCAACAAAUGCCCUGCUUCCAGGAAAAGCCUCUAAGCAUCAGGUAACAUCAAAUCGUACCCCAAACCGACACAGGUGGUCAGGUAGAGAAUACCAAGGCGCUUGAGAGAACUCGGGUGAAGGAACUAGGCAAAAUGGUGCCGUAACUUCGGGAGAAGGCACGCUGAUAUGUAGGUGAAGCGACUUGCUCGUGGAGCUGAAAUCAGU
rnacentral:rRNA from 1 species